CCCUCAUCAGGAUUACAGCUUUAUCAGGACUGCACCUUUAUCAGAAAUGAAUCUUUCUCUUACAAUGCAAAGAAAGAAAAAUCAAAAUAAAUUUUCUGAUUGAAAAUGUAAAAAGGGAAAUAUUUUUACAGUUUUAACUUUAAGUUUUUAUUGAGGGCCAACAAUUUUUAAAAUUUUCAUUAGUCAUUCCUUUAAAUUAUGUGUAUGUAAGAGAAAGAUGUAAGAUGGUUAAUUAUUUCAAAUGAUGCAAUAUAAAGAAGGGGCAUUAUCAUGGCAUAAACAAAAAAGACUAUAAACUAUGUGUUUAUAGUCUAACACAUGGUUGCUAUUUGUUCUAUAAAUAUUUUUUAAUAAUUUAAGUAAUAUAGAGAUUUCAAAUAGAAAAUACUUCAGAUAAAAAUUAAUGUUUAUAACCAUAUAUUAUAAUAAUUUACUUAGGAAUUAUCUUUGAUAAGAAACAAGUAAACUGGAUGAAAUUUUCUCCACAGACCAUGUAAGACUGCCUAUGUACCUCCUCCUACAUGUCAUUGGUUAACCAUUAGUCCGUUUGCAGGGGGCCAUUUCCUGCCCAUUGCUUUUGUAAUCUCUGAGGGGAAGAAGCAGCAAACAUUUGCUAGUCAGACAAGUGACAGGAAAUGGAUUCCAAACACCAGCGUGUGAAGCUAAAUGAUGGCCACUUCAUGCCUGUAUUGGGAUUUGGCACCUAUGCACCUCCAGAGGUUCCCAGAAGUAAAGCUUUGGAGGUCACAAAAUUAGCAAUAGAAGCUGGGUUCCGCCAUAUAGAUUCUGCUCAUUUGUACAAUAAUGAGGAGCAGGUUGGACUGGCCAUCCGAAGCAAGAUUGCAGAUGGCAGUGUGAAGAGAGAAGACAUAUUCUACACUUCAAAGCUUUGGUCCACUUUUCAUCGACCAGAGUUGGUCCGACCAGCCUUGGAAAACUCGCUGAAAAAAGCUCAACUGGACUAUGUUGACCUCUAUCUCAUCCAUUCUCCAAUGUCUCUAAAGGUAUACAGUUUGAGUAUGAGCAUAAAAUUGCACUUCUGCUGUCAUUAUAAACAUUGUUUAUAUGGGAAAUUGAACAGAGCUUUUUCUUAGGAGAAUGUAGGGAUUAUUACAUGGAAGAAGAACUGUAAGUAUAACACCUAAUUUCCUUUCUUUUGAGUAAAUUUUGAAUCCUACUUCUCUAAUGCACACCUACAAGAGAAGAGAGAACAGCAACCUCAAAGCCUCUUCUUUGAAAACUUGAGGAAAUUACAAUAGUCUUUUUCAAGGCACUGUCUUAGUUAUGGCUUUUGAGUCCAUCUCUUGGGAUGUUCACAGACACAGAGUUUCACGUGUUGUGAUGCCCAACAAAACUGCUGCACAUGUGAUACACAAUGAGUUUCCACCAUCUCUCCCCAUUUCAAGCUGAAGCAGAUCUGGCAGAAGCCACUAUACAUGGUUCUUAAAUUAGAAACCCUUAAUGUGGACUUGCAAAGCUUUAUUAUUCUGCCACUUCUUCUUUCACAAUAGAGUUUGAAGCUGUAUUUAGCCAUGAAUUACUGUGUAGUGUAUAACUUUUGAUUUAAAGUUACAGGAAACUACUCAGGCUAGUUAAUGCAAAAGAGUUUACUGAGUUACGGGAAGUC